GCUCAUUCUCUUCUCCAUACUUCCGAAACUUUCAGAAAGCCAUGGCUAGGGUUUCAAGCUUUUUCAAAGUUCAAUUUAUCGCCAAGUUAGCUCGGGGAUCGGUGGACGUCGGAGAUUCGCUCACACUAUCAAUUAGAACACUUGGUAUAUAUACAUAAAUUUUUGGGUUAUCGCAUGUAUAGUAGGUUUGGUCGUUUUGUCAUAUAUGUCAUAUUUCUUAUGGCCAAUAUUGACGGUUGUUAUACGCCUAUGAUAUGGUUAUUCAUGUAUGUGGUAAUUGCAUAAUUGAAUGUUGUGGAGGUGGUUUACAAAUGAUUUCAUGAAUGACGAUGUGUAUGGGAAUGUGAAUGUAAAAUUUGAUAUUCGGAUGUCCAAUUAUAGUGUGAUACAUGUUGACGAAA